CCCGUCACAUCACGAAAGUGGAUUGUACUAGAAGUCUGCACGCUAACCCGCAAGGGAGGCAGCGGCCCGAGGUAUGAUUCAUGAUUGGGGUG
rnacentral:rRNA from 1 species